rnacentral:rRNA from 1 species
GAUGAACGCUGGCGGCGUGCCUAAUACAUGCAAGUCGAGCGAACAGACGAGGAGCUUGCUUCUCUGACGUUAGCGGCGGACGGGUGAGUAACACGUGGAUAACCUACCUAUAAGACUGGGAUAACUUCGGGAAACCGGAGCUAAUACCGGAUAAUAUAUUGAACUGCAUGGUUCGAUAGUGAAAGACGGUUUUGCUGUCACUUAUAGAUGGAUCCGCGCCGCAUUAGCUAGUUGGUAAGGUAACGGCUUACCAAGGCAACGAUGCGUAGCCGACCUGAGAGGGUGAUCGGCCACACUGGAACUGAGACACGGUCCAGACUCCUACGGGAGGCAGCAGUAGGGAAUCUUCCGCAAUGGGCGAAAGCCUGACGGAGCAACGCCGCGUGAGUGAUGAAGGUCUUCGGAUCGUAAAACUCUGUUAUUAGGGAAGAACAAAUGUGUAAGUAACUAUGCACGUCUUGACGGUACCUAAUCAGAAAGCCACGGCUAACUACGUGCCAGCAGCCGCGGUAAUACGUAGGUGGCAAGCGUUAUCCGGAAUUAUUGGGCGUAAAGCGCGCGUAGGCGGUUUUUUAAGUCUGAUGUGAAAGCCCACGGCUCAACCGUGGAGGGUCAUUGGAAACUGGAAAACUUGAGUGCAGAAGAGGAAAGUGGAAUUCCAUGUGUAGCGGUGAAAUGCGCAGAGAUAUGGAGGAACACCAGUGGCGAAGGCGACUUUCUGGUCUGUAACUGACGCUGAUGUGCGAAAGCGUGGGGAUCAAACAGGAUUAGAUACCCUGGUAGUCCACGCCGUAAACGAUGAGUGCUAAGUGUUAGGGGGUUUCCGCCCCUUAGUGCUGCAGCUAACGCAUUAAGCACUCCGCCUGGGGAGUACGACCGCAAGGUUGAAACUCAAAGGAAUUGACGGGGACCCGCACAAGCGGUGGAGCAUGUGGUUUAAUUCGAAGCAACGCGAAGAACCUUACCAAAUCUUGACAUCCUCUGACCCCUCUAGAGAUAGAGUUUUCCCCUUCGGGGGACAGAGUGACAGGUGGUGCAUGGUUGUCGUCAGCUCGUGUCGUGAGAUGUUGGGUUAAGUCCCGCAACGAGCGCAACCCUUAAGCUUAGUUGCCAUCAUUAAGUUGGGCACUCUAAGUUGACUGCCGGUGACAAACCGGAGGAAGGUGGGGAUGACGUCAAAUCAUCAUGCCCCUUAUGAUUUGGGCUACACACGUGCUACAAUGGACAAUACAAAGGGCAGCGAAACCGCGAGGUCAAGCAAAUCCCAUAAAGUUGUUCUCAGUUCGGAUUGUAGUCUGCAACUCGACUAUAUGAAGCUGGAAUCGCUAGUAAUCGUAGAUCAGCAUGCUACGGUGAAUACGUUCCCGGGUCU